rnacentral:lncRNA from 1 species
AAGCCAGGUUUUCUCGGGUGGGAUCUUACCUUAACAACUCAUAUUAAUAUUGUCAUUACCCAUAUUGCUUUGAACCCUGACUCUUUUGAUUUAGUUUCACCCAUCAUUUGUGCCUUUUGUGGCCAUCAAGUAACAUGCCGGAUCAUUCAGAGCUUUGAGAUUGCAACUAUGAGAUCCUAUAUGAUCUCAACCUAUAACAGUACAACACCAAUUCCAUGUCACAUGUACCAAUGCCAUUCAAAUAAGGAAAAGCGUAAGUGCAUAUAGUCAUGA